GACGAACGCUGGCGGCGUGCCUAAUACAUGCAAGUCGAACGCAUUUUCUUUCACCGUAGCUUGCUACACCGACAGAAAAUGAGUGGCGAACGGGUGAGUAACACGUGGGUAACCUGCCCAUCAGCGGGGGAUAACACUUGGAAACAGGUGCUAAUACCGCAUAAUUCCAUUUACCGCAUGGUAGAUGGAUGAAAGGCGCUUUUGCGUCACUGAUGGAUGGACCCGCGGUGCAUUAGCUAGUUGGUGGGGUAACGGCCUACCAAGGCUGCGGUGCAUAGCCGACCUGAGAGGGUGAUCGGCCACACUGGGACUGAGACACGGCCCAGACUCCUACGGGAGGCAGCAGUAGGGAAUCUUCGGCAAUGGACGCAAGUCUGACCGAGCAACGCCGCGUGAGUGAAGAAGGUUUUCGGAUCGUAAAACUCUGUUGUUAGAGAAGAACAAGGAUGAGAGUGGAAAGUUCAUCCCUUGACGGUAUCUAACCAGAAAGCCACGGCUAACUACGUG
rnacentral:rRNA from 1 species